rnacentral:rRNA from 1 species
UACGUAGACAGCGAGCGUUGUUCGGAGUUACUGGGCGUAAAGCGUGCGUAGGCGGUGUCUUAAGUUUGUUGUGAAAUCUCCCGGCUUAACUGGGAGGGUGCGGCGGAAACUGGAAUGCUAGAGGAUGGGAGAGGUAAGCGGAAUUCCUGGUGUAGCGGUGAAAUGCGUAGAGAUCGGAAGGAACACCAGUGGCGAAGGCGGCUACCUGGCCUAAUACUGACACUGAGGCACGAAAGCGUGGGGAGCAAACAGG